CCAUCACAUAAUUAACCCAUUUCUAUGGCACAAAAUAUUUGAAUCCGCUCUACGGUCUAAACCCGCAUUGCCAUAAACCCACCCCGCUCUGCCCUGAUGGACCCUGAUCGCCAAUCGGGAAACUCUACCGCCGUCACCUCCAUCGCAGGUGAAUGUUCCGAUGGCCGGAAAAUUUGCUCUAAUUGUGACCGGCCAGUAAAAGUGUGUUUAUGCAGCAUAAUCCCAUCGGAGCCGAUAUCCACCGUUACUCGAAUUGUAAUUCUUCACCAUCCUCAUGAACAACGGCAUAAGCUCGCUACGGUCCCUGUUCUAUCUAAAUGCCUUCGUAAUUGCGAUGUUAUUGUUGGCCGGAGAUUACAUUAUGGUGAUUCCGACGUUCUCGAUUUUCUCCAUGAUGAUGCUAUGAGAAACCCUAAUUUUAACAGCAGAGCUAUUUAUCUAUUUCCUGGUGCUGAUCCAUCACCAUCUCAGGAAAUCAGCCAUUGGAAGUCUUCUAAAAAUAUUGUAGAGACGAGUAAUUAUGUCUUGAUUGCUUUUGAUGGAACUUGGAAGCAUGCUCGAGAGAUGAUGCAUGCAAGCUUAUCAUUUUUAUCCAAGUUUGCUGUUCAGGUUCACUUAGACUAUGAUGUUGGCAAUGAUGGCGGGACAAUAUACAAUUCUGAUUUAAUUCUUAGAAAGGAGCCGUUUAGUGGGUGCAUGAGUACCAUGGAGGCAGUAGCGCAUUGCUUACGGAUUCUCGAGCCUAAUGGGAUUGAUAGAGAGUCAAGUUUGAUAGAGGUUUUAAGAAGUAUGGUUAAAUUUCAGGCUUCUUUCCUCAAGCCUAUGAAGCCUAGGCCCAAGUUGAUAAAAGGAGGACGAGAGGGAAAAAUAUAAUUGCUCUCUUCCAUUUUCUGUCUGUUUUUAAGCAACAUUUAGCACAAGGAUAGCCUUAAAGCACUUUUGGUUAUCACGUACCUGACUUCUCAAAGCCAUCAGCCUGUACAUGGUACUUAACCAAAUUUCGCAGAUGCUGCUUCGAUCGGUUGGAGUAUAUGGCAGUAACCUGCUUAUGCUGAAGCAAGUGAAGCCAGAGGCUGAACCAUGCAUGUUCAAGAUUGUCAAACGUUGAGCUCUUCACUGUAUCUCGAAGUAAUAUGAAAUGAAUGAUUGUCAUUCGCCAUUUGAUGUCAUUCGUCAUUUUUAUCAGUUUUAUAGAGAUUGCCGUAAAAUAUUUGGCAACUGAAAUUCUUUUGGAAGUUUUCAUGAUCAGUAUAUGAUAGCUACAUACGGAACCUUGCCUGGUCUUGAAGGGGUUAAAUAAUUUUGUAGUACCGCGUGAUUAUGCAGCAGGUGGCUCUAAUGCUGCUUUGCUCAGAUUUCAAUGGCAUAUAUUUCAGGUCAAAUUUCAGUAUUAUAGUCGCUUGGGAAAUCUGAAUAUGUGGCUUGGAUUCCUUUGAUAAGCACAUGGAUGCAGGCUAAAGAACUUACAAGACAUGUGGGUGUGACUUAGUGGUUCAAUGAAGUUGGGCUAAGCAUCAGAGACUUUCAAUUCCCUAACAGAGACGAGACAAAUUGCUGUCCGACUCUUUGAUUGUUCUUACUUUAUUUGCUCCAAAUUGGACAUAGAGGAUGUAGAAGAAGAUUAAUGAGAUUGUUGUCUUCGCAUGAACUUUAAAGUUGUUUUUUUGGGUGGUGGUUGGAACAUCUUAAAAAUUACAUCACUUGCUCUAGCAAAGUUGCUCUAAAUAAUUAUUAUAUCAGGAUUUUUUGUGUUGAUGAGCAAACCGCUCAUUAAUCCAAACAGCUUCAAUUUUCUUGGGAUCCA